rnacentral:rRNA from 1 species
CCUACGGGAGGCAGCAGUGAGGAAUAUUGGUCAAUGGACGAGAGUCUGAACCAGCCAAGUAGCGUGAAGGAUGACUGCCCUAUGGGUUGUAAACUUCUUUUAUAUGGGAAUAAAAUGUUCCACGUGUGGGUUUUUGUAUGUACCAUAUGAAUAAGGAUCGGCUAACUCCGUGCCAGCAGCCGCGGUAAUACGGAGGAUCCGAGCGUUAUCCGGAUUUAUUGGGUUUAAAGGGAGCGUAGGUGGAUUGUUAAGUUAGUUGUGAAAGUUUGCGGCUCAACCGUAAAAUUGCAGUUGAAACUGGCAGUCUUGAGUACAGUAGAGGUAGGCGGAAUGCGUGGUGUAGCGGUGAAAUGCUUAGAUAUCACGAAGAACUCCGAUUGCGAAGGCAGCUCACUGGACUGCAACUGACACUGAGGCACGAAAGUGUGGGUAUCAAACAGGAUUAGAUACCCCGGUAGUC